rnacentral:rRNA from 1 species
AUGUCCUUGAUAGCCACAGAGGUCAGCAUCUCCGUCUUCGCUCCAAUGGUGGAGAAGGUUUCCUGGCACUGCUGCUACAGGGCAGGGUCUGUUACCUUUGGUCUCUGGGAGCUUGAGCAGCUGACGCUGGAGACGUCAGAGAGCCAAGGACAGCUCUCUUCGCUGCAGAUUCAUGCCUCCAUAUUCCGGUCAAAUUUCCCCGGCGGGGCGAUCAACUUCAUGCAAGAGAUAGCGAAGCAUAUGGUUGCUGCCUUCUCCGCUCUAGAGCUUCAUCUCAAAACAGUCGGGCAUGUUUUUGGAGCAAUCGUGUUCCUUCUCCUUGGAAUGAAUCGAAUUCGAGCAGCUGUGCGGAGGCUUAAGCUCAUCCUAUGGAGAACAAAGGUGAGAGAAGGAUGCCUACCAAAUUGUCCAUGUCAGCCCACUGACUGGAGAUCCCAAACUGUCUCCUUCACUCAUCUUGAAGAAGUGGAAAUCACUGGCUUUGAAGGGGUGGGUCAUGAGUUUGAUUUCUUAAAAUUGAUGCUCAGAUGUUCGCCGGCACUUAAAAAAAUGACUUUGAAGCUGUCACGUGAUGUGUGGUCGAGGAAAGAUGGAUGCACAAUAAUAAACAACAUCUUCAAAGAGUAUCCUUCCGUGCAAUGCUAUAUUUAUCUUUCCUAUGGUAAGUGUAUGUUCAGCGUGCUCUGUUAA